GAUGAAGAACGCAGUGAAAUGCGAUAAGUAAUGUGAAUUGCAGAAUUCAGUGAAUCAUCGAAUCUUUGAACGCACCUUGCGCUCCUUGGUAUUCCGAGGAGCAUGCCUGUUUGAGUGUCAUUAAUAUAUCAACCUUCUCUUUUUUGAGUUGUUUGGAUGUGGGGGUUUGCUUGCCUCUUAAAUGAUUCAGCUCCCCUGAAAUGCAUUAGCAGAACAACCUGUUCAUUAGCGUGAUAAUUAUCUAUGCUAUUGAAUGUGAGGGCAGUUCAGCUUUCUAACCGUCCUUGGACAAUUCAUCAUUAAUGUGACCUCAAAUCAGGUAGGACUACCCGCUGAACUUAAGCAUAUCAAUAAGCGGAGGA
rnacentral:misc_RNA from 1 species